UGGGGAAUUUUGGACAAUGGGCGAAAGCCUGAUCCAGCAAUGCCGCGUGUGUGAAGAAGGCCUUCGGGUUGUAAAGCACUUUUGUCCGGAAAGAAAUCCUUGGCUCUAAUACAGUCGGGGGAUGACGGUACCGGAAGAAUAAGCACCGGCUAACUACGUGCCAGCAGCCGCGGUAAUACGUAGGGUGCAAGCGUUAAUCGGAAUUACUGGGCGUAAAGCGUGCGCAGGCGGUUUGCUAAGACCGAUGUGAAAUCCCCGGGCUCAACCUGGGAACUGCAUUGGUGACUGGCAGGCUAGAGUAUGGCAGAGGGGGGUAGAAUUCCACGUGUAGCAGUGAAANNGCGUAGAGAUGUGGAGGAAUACCGAUGGCGAAGGCAGCCCCCCUGGGCCAAUACUGACGCUCAUGCACGAAAAGCGUGGGGGAGCAAACAGGAUUAGAUACCCUGGUAGUCCACGCCCUAAACGAUGUCAACUAGUUGUUGGGGAUUCAUUUCCUAGUAACGUAGCUAACGCGUGAAGUUGACCGCCUGGGGAGUACGGUCGCAAGAUUAAAACUCAAAUGAAUUGACGGGGUCC
rnacentral:rRNA from 1 species